GCUCAGAGGUGACGAAUGGAUCAGGUAGAUGAGGCUAGACCUGUCCCAGGCCACUGAUCAUUGAGGUGAUUCUGAUCUG
rnacentral:scRNA from 1 species